UCAAGCUUUUUUUAUAAUAAC
rnacentral:piRNA from 1 species